rnacentral:rRNA from 1 species
CCUACGGGAGGCAGCAGUAGGGAAUAUUGGGCAAUGGAGGCAACUCUGACCCAGCCAUGCCGCGUGAACGAAGAAGGCGCUAUGCGUCGUAAAGUUCUUUUAGAGGGGGCGAAAACACUUGAUUCAUCAAGUACUGACGGUACCUUCGGAAUAAGCACCGGCUAACUCUGUGCCAGCAGCCGCGGUAAUACAGAGGGUGCAAGCGUUAUCCGGAAUCACUGGGUUUAAAGGGUGCGUAGGCGGGAUUAUAAGUCAGAGGUGAAAUCUCGUCGCUUAACGACGGAAUUGCCUUUGAUACUGUUUUUCUUGAAAUUUGUUGAGGUUGGCGGAAUGAGACAUGUAGCGGUGAAAUGCUUAGAUAUGUCUUAGAACACCGAUUGCGAAGGCAGCUGACUGGACAAUAUUUGACGCUGAGGCACGAAAGCGUGGGGAUCAAACAGGAUUAGAUACCCUGGUAGUCCACGCCCUAAACGAUGUUUACUUGCUGUUUGUCUUUCGGGAUGAGUGGCGAAGCGAAAGCGAUAGUAAACCACCUGGGGAGUACGCCCGNGAAGGGUGAAACGUUGAAAGGAUUGACGGNNGNGAGNGCGACGGACGACGACGAGGGAGGAGG